AGCCCAUUGAGAUUAUCUCGUGGUUGACGUCCUUUAUUUAACCAUGUGUGAGAGAGUCCAUUGAGAUUGUCUAUCGUUAUUGUAUCCUUUAUUUAACCAGGUGAGGAGCCCAUUGAGAUUUGAGUGUUUCUCGUGAUUGACAUACUUUAUUUAACCAGGGAACGGGGCGGAGAUAUUGAUCGGGGAUGAAAGUGAAUGGAGCCACGCGUCAAGAGUGACAUCAAGCAAAGAGAAGGCACGGUUGUGAUGAAGAACAGUUGCUCGAGGGUUAAAGUUAUUCCCUUCAGCGAUUAUCUCAGCCACUGGUCCCAAACCGCCACCACUCAAAAUCCCGGCACCCAAGCUUCCACCUCUACCCAGGACCAGAGCCCUAGGCUGGUCGGGGUGACUAGGCAAGCCCCAAGGGUUUGGCCUACGCCACAGCCUCACAUCGAACCCGACCCUGUGAACUGGGAGGCAGAAGCGGAGGAACUCGUGGAAUGGACUCGAGCUUUGAGUCCCAGACUCCUGGAAUAAUUAUGUUUUUUACUUCUCCCAUUCAAAUAAUGUACCAUUAUUACUUUGUCAAUUUCCAACUUGCCUUCUAUUGCUCUGUGUAGGUUGAGUAAAUCAGAAAUGGCAUUCUGGUAUCUGACUCUGGACCUCCUAUUGCCCGUUCUUCUGUCUCUGUACCACCUACGCUUCACAACCUGCAGCCUGUCAACCUAAACAGCAUGAAUACAAUCAUCUCGAACCUAAAAAAGUCUUCCAUCCUCUGCCCUCCUAACCUGUUACUGCCUAUCCACGCUGUCCAUAUUACCAGCAUCAUUAAUGCCUCCAAUACUGCUGCUCUUACUACCAUCAUGAAUUAACUCACAAUGAACUGCGAAGUUAUAUCCCAUAUCAAACUCCCCAUGUAAAAUUCCGAUAAAGGAUUAUCUUUUCCCAAGUAUGCAAAUUCCUGUCUCUCCAUUGUUUCCAUGGGUCAGUCAAAUCUGGUUUCAACCAAGGUUAUUCUAUUGACACUUAUCUCCUGUAUGUUCGAAAUAAACAUCUCUUCAGACCAUAAAUCUAUUUCAACUCCAUCCUUCCAGAGUGCCUCCAUUACUAUAUAGACCAGCGGUUCCAAAUAUGUGUUACGCGGAUCCCUGGUGGUCCACGAGGCUACUACAGGGGUCCUUGGAAAAUACAAAUAAUAUAAUCACAUCCUCACAUCCUCACCAAGGUAAUGCACAAUUUCAAAUAACUACUGCAGUAGUAUGUGGUGGCCUGCGAAAUGUUUGGAGUUUGAAAAGGGGUCAGCACACUUGAAAGGGUUGAGAACCGCUUAUAUAGACAAAAUGAGUUUUUAAUGUGUUGGAAAGUUAAAUCAAUUGUAAUACGUGUUGUGAAUAGACAUAAUGAAUCUAAAUAUCCAAGAUAAGUUUGGGCACAUCAACUUUUAGUUUGACAAGUAAUAUGUUUUAACUACAGCAAGCAGUCUGUGGGCAUCAUCAGGAUGAAAAUGUUCCACCAUCGCAGUAGGCUUAAAUAAACACAGCACCCAUUGUGGGGAUGAGAGAGAGGAAACAGGGUAGACAGUUAUAAACAGAGAAGUCAAAAUAAUCGUGAGCGUUAUUGCGUAGAAAAUAAAUAAGGAGUCUAUCUCCAUCACAUAUCCGUCUCCAAUCUUAUAUAUAAAAGUAUUUCUUACAGAACCCAUUAGCUGCAGAAGGCCGCGCGGCUGAUGGAUUGUGUAAGAAGUACUUUGAUGUGGAGAUACGGAUAUGUGAAGGAGACAUUGCUUAUUUAAUUAGUUGUGCACGCAGCUCGGUCUACAAUCUGACCCAAGAACGUGCACAUUUCAAUUGCUAGCCUGCAGGUUCACACACUUUAUACGGGGAAAUGAUGGUACUGAUGCUCUGACUCGUAUGGCACAAUCAAAACCUGCUGUGCUUCUUUAAGCCCAUUAAGACGAUGGGGAACUGUAUGCGCAUCAUUGCUGCGCAUGCAAUGAUUCACUCCUCCCCAGCGAUGCUAUUGUCAUAAUUUGCGGUCGUGAUUCCAUUUCAUUCAAAAAUCAUUUGUUACCGUAUGAGCCCAUCCAUGUUAUAAUUUUUUUGUGCCAUUUGUAGAGUUUUGUGACCCCAUUAACCUAAAAGUAAAAUUAGCAUUUCCCACGUAAUGUGCAUACAUUUAAAUAAAUUAUCACCCUCUCAA